GAACUAAAACAUUCAUCAAGGGACGCGGGUGGCGCUGUGGGUAAAACCUCAGUGCCUAGGACUUGCCGAUCGUAUGGUUGGCGGUUCAAAUCCCCACGGCGGGGUGAGCUCCCAUUGCUCGGUCCCAGCUCCUGCCAACCUAGCAGUUCGAAAGCACUCUUAAAUGCAAGUAGAUAAAUAGGUACCGCUUCAUAGCAGGAAGGUAAACGGCGUUUCCGUGUGCUGCGCUGGUGCAGGCUCGCCAGAGCAGCUUCGUCACGCUGGCCACGUGACCCGGAAGUGUCUCCGGACAGCGCUGGCCCCCGGCCUCUUAAGCGAGAUGGGCGCGCAACCCCAGAGUCGGUCACGACUGGCCCUUUACCUUUACCUUUAAAACAUUCAUCUGGAUGAACUUGAACUGAACAAUAUGGCUCCAUCAGAUUCAGAGCAUGAGACUCUGAAUCUCAGGAUUGUGGGUUUGAGCCCCACUUGGGGCAAAACAAUUCCUGCAUUGUAGGGGAUUGGAUAGAGACCCUGAGACCUGUGGGUAUAGGGCAGUAAACAAAUUUAAAUAAAUACAGUACAAUCCAAUCCAAUCCAAUACCCUUGUGGUCCCUUCAAACUCUCCAAUUCUAUGAUCCCAUGAUUUUGUAAAAGCACAAAACUGCACUAGUUUGUUUAAAAAUAAACACUCCAAGCUAGUGGUUUUUGGGGCAGACAUAUUCUGCAACAUGUAACUUACACAGUAAUCAUUGUUGGAUUUAUACUGUAUCAUUCUGCUAUACCUCGGUUUUUGAGAGUCUCAGAAGCUGAAUGUUUCGGUUUUUGAAUGCUGAAAGCUGAACGGCUUUCGCUAUGUAUUUUUCAGUUUUUCCAGUUGAACUUGCAGCAAGUCCUUUGCACCUCAGUUUCUGAACGUUUUGGAUAUUGAACAGUCUUCCGGAACAUAUUACAUUCGAGAACCAAGGUACCACUGUAUUAGUUGUCCUGCAAUGCCUCCCCUGGGUUCCUGUGUAGUAUGGCUGUCUGGAGGGUCACUCUUGUCACCACACCGGUCCUGAAAGACCUAUAUUGGCUCCCAGUACGUUUCCAGGCACAAUUCAAAGUGUUGGUCCUGACCUUUAAAGCCCUAAACGACCUCAGCCCAGUAUCCCUGAAGGCGUGUCUCCACCCCCAUCGUUCAGCCCGGACAUUGAGGUCCAACUCCAAGGGCCUUCUGGCGGUUCCCUCACUACAAGAAGCGAAGUUACAGGGAACCAGGUACACGGCCUUCUCAGUAGUGGCACCCACCCUGUGGAACACCCUCCCGUCAAGGAAAUAAAAAACUAUCUGACUUUUAGAAGACAUCUGAAGGCAGCCCUGAUUAGGGGAGUUUUAAUAUUUGAUGAAUUAUUGUAUUUCAAUAUUUUGCUCGCAAAACCUAGCCAGAUGGGUGAGGUAUAAAUCAUAAAUUGUUGUUGUUGUUGUUGUUGUUGUUGUUGUUGUUGUGCUAUAGGGCAACAAAAGCAGGCCACUCACACACACACACACACAAAACAUUUGUGAUAUAAGAAGUUUCAAGGGUUCAGCAGGAACUUAUGGGACAUGCAGAGGCCAGAAGCAACACGUCCCCCAUGAAACUUUUGCAGAUGCUAGUAGCAUCGAAAGCAGGAUCACAUACAUCUGCUCCAGUACCACUGUGAGCACACAACAAAAAAAGAGCAUCUGGAGGACCCUGGCAUAGACAGGAAAACACAUUUGGCCAGGCUUGACAGCAAUGCAAGGCCUAGCCCCCUGCCUAAGAAGCAAUCAGAGGUUCGCAAUGUUAGGAAACAUUAGCAGAAUGUUAAUAGAAUAGCAAACUGCGUUGCACAUUUUGACUAUUUAUAGAGCAGUGAUCCCUGCUGCUACAUUAUUAUCAUUAGAUCAUUUACUACUGGUAAUUUAGAAUCUCAUUCUCCUCCCCCGCCCCCCCUUCAAAAGCUUGAAUUGAAAUAAUUGAGCAACCGUGCCAAACUAAAGAACUAGGAGAGAGAAUAAGGCAAGAUUCUAUAAAGAACAUUAUCCCCCAAGGACACCUAGUGGUGGAGAGAUGCUGUGUCUAAGCUUAAGACCUACUAGGGUUUUAAACAAGAGUUUCUGGAGCGGUGGUAGCAAUAGAACGGUGCUCAGAACUGAGUCAGGUAUUGAACCUAGUAGCAGUUCUGUGGACUCAUUCAAUGUUAUGGACACUUUAUCAGUGUGGAGGGGAAAUGGGCCUUUUUGCAAGCGUGACCGUCGUCACGUGGACCAAAGUUGUCGAACUUUUUUUUGCUGGUUUCCACCUGGACACUGCUACCGACUGCAGUGUUCCGGGUAUGUCUGGGAAAUUCCAGACACAUGGCAACCCUAGGCACAGUAUUGGAAAAACUGAAGGCAUCACACAAUUGAUGCAUGUACCAGCUUCAUCAUCCAUCUCUCCGCAAUUUGCCUAGCACAGGUGUGCUUGGAAAGCAGGUCUGGGCUGCAGUUCUGCUGUAAGUUCAGAGAAUGCCUUCGGGGAAAUCACUUCUCCGCUUAGCGUCAGCUUUCCCACCUGUGAAAUGGGAAUAAUUUAUCUCACCUGCAUAUCGUGCAAGAUCAAAAAUAAUAAAAGAGUUUUUAGUGAUAAGUUUCCAUAGUGCUGUGGUGGGCAACCUAGUCCCCCUCCAGAUGUUCUGAACUCUUAACUCCCAUCAUCUACCAUGGAUGCUUUAGUUGAGAUUCCUGCAUUGCACGGGGUUGGACUAGAUGACCCCUGGGUUCCCCUCCAAAUCUACAGUUCUAUGAUUCUAUGAUCAGCCCCAGCCAGAGAGUCCAAUGGUGAGGGAUGGUGGAAGUUGGAGUCCAGCAGGCCAUGCAUUGUCAGCUGGGGACUCCAUUAAGAGAACCUGAAAUCUGCAACUCGCUUGCUCCAGAGCAGCCGCCACCUGCAAAUAAACAGUCCUUGGGAUAUGGACUAGCACGUACCUCCUUUGUGUACGACUGUAUUCACCUGUGCAAACAUUUUACUUA
rnacentral:lncRNA from 1 species